rnacentral:rRNA from 1 species
AACUUUCAACUACGGAUCUCUUGGUUCUGGCAUCGAUGAAGAACGCAGCGAAAUGCGAUAAGUAGUGUGAAUUGCAGAAUUCAGUGAAUCAUCGAAUCUUUGAACGCACAUUGCGCCCCUUGGUAUUCCAUGGGGCAUGCCUGUUCGAGCGUCAUUUGUA